GACGAACGCUGGCGGCGUGCUUAACACAUGCAAGUCGAACGGUAACGCGCCUUCCUCUUUGGCUGAUGUGGAUGAGUUGCGAACGGGUGAGUAACACGUUAGUAACCUGCCCUUUCCUUCGGGAUAACCGCAUGAAAGUGUGGCUAAUACGGGAUAUGCUGUGUCUGUCGCAUGAUGGGUCUGUCAAAGAUAUUGUGUCGGUAUGGGAUGGGCUCGCGGCCUAUCAGCUUGGUGGUGGGGUGAGGGCCUACCAAGGCGGUGAGGGGUAGCCGGCCUGAGAGGGUGGACGAUAACAGUGGGGAUGCGCCACGGCGCAGCCUACUACGGGCGGCAGCAGGGGGGAAUAGUGAACAAUGGGAGGCAGGCUGAUGCAGCGCCGCCGCGUGAGGGAUGGAGGUCUUCGGGUUGUGAACCUCUUUCGCGAGAGAAGCAGGGCUGCCUAGUUUGUGGGUGGGUUGACGGUAGCUGGAUAAGAAGCGCCGGCUAACUACGUG
rnacentral:rRNA from 1 species